GUACUGCUCCCUCCGUCCCAUAUUAAGUGACUUUCUAUUACAUGUAUCUAGACAUAUUUUAGUAUAUAGAUACAUCCAUAUUUAGACAAAUUUGAGUCACUUAAUAUGGAAGGAGGGAGUAGUAC
rnacentral:pre_miRNA from 1 species